AGCUAAAAUGGCGGAGGUUGGGAGUCCCUGCUUUGACUCUGUUUGCAAACUCUUGUUUCAUCGUUUAAGCGAUUAAAUCUCUCGAGUAGACGCUGUCUCUUUAGAUGCGAGGGCAAAAUAGCACUUUUUGGACUUCCACAGAGGACAUCAUGUUUAAUACGGUUCAGGAAAAAUCCAGUCAGAAGUUGUUCACGGAGUUUUCACAAUAACUGCUUCUCAUGAACCGAAGCUGGAUUUGCGCGACGUCUCCUCCUGAAAGUUGGAUUACUGUGCACUUCUGGAUCACAGGCUAUUCGCAGCUGGACACAUCCUUCUACACUGUAUGCAAACAUGCAACAUCAUUACACACAGUACAAGGAGUCAGACUGGCAUAUGAGGAGCAAAGGAACCCAGGCAGUAGCAUCGUUUCACAAUGUUUCCAUCACCAUCAUCAGUGGAUGCCUUUGCCGUCCGUAGCCUGAGAUUUCAGAUUUGCAGCAAAAAAUUAGAUUUUCUCAUUUAUUGGAAUGCUGUGCAGGUUGUACCUUGCAGCCAUCCAUUACAAUGUCACCAAGCCGUAACAAAAGCAGGAGAGGGAAAGUACAAGGCUAUGUUCCCAAAACACACAAGUGACAUACCGUAAGCAGUA